GAUGAACGCUAGCGAUAGGCCUAACACAUGCAAGUCGAGGGGCAGCAUAGAGUAGCAAUACUUUGAUGGCGACCGGCGCACGGGUGAGUAACACGUAUGCAACCUACCUACAUCAGGGGAAUAACCCGGAGAAAUUCGGACUAAUACCGCAUAAUACAGGGAUGCCGCAUGGCAAUAUUUGUUAAAGAUUUAUCGGAUGUAGAUGGGCAUGCGUUCCAUUAGCUGGUUGGUAAGGUAACGGCUUACCAAGGCAACGAUGGAUAGGGGAACUGGGAGGUUUGUCCCCCACACUGGAACUGAGACACGGACCAGACUCCUACGGGAGGCAGCAGUGAGGAAUAUUGGUCAAUGGACGAGAGUCUGAACCAGCCAAAUCGCGUGAAGGAAGACUGCCCUACGGGUUGUAAACUUCUUCUGUACAGGAAUAAAAGACAUUACGUGUAAUGUAUUGCAUGUACUGUACGAAUAAGCAUCGGCUAACUCCGUGCCAGCAGCCGCCGUAA
rnacentral:rRNA from 1 species